rnacentral:lncRNA from 1 species
CCCAUGUCACCAUCCCCACCUCUGCCAUACAUCUUGUAAACAUCAGCUCAAGGCUUGCAUCCCUCUGUAAGGACAGCUUGUGUCCGCCUAGAGAUUAACACUACCCUGAAUUUGAAUUACUAACUUAAAUGAGACUUAACUAAACUACUUAAAUGGUGACUAAAUGCCAUUCUAAUUACAGUGAACACAUUUGCAAUUAACUGGCUCAUUCCAGGAGCAAGAAAACCAACCCAGAGCAAACAGAACAUCACUCAUACAUACCCACUCCUGGUCUAGACAGGUUAAGUGAACAGUCUGGCAACAUGUUAAUGCUAAAGAUGAACCUCGCUAUGCAGUUCUGAGAAGAAGCCUCUCUCCUACGCCCUCUCCAAGGUGGCAUUAAAAACAAGAACAACAAAGCGCUGAGGAAGUUACUGAAAACUAAGAAGUACGAGCAGCCCGGCCCAUUGAAAGAGAGCAAGGAAGAUACCUACCAGUUAAGGAAAAAAAGGAAAGAGACAACUAUUGCCUGUGUUUAGACACACUUCUCA